rnacentral:tRNA from 1 species
GCCAGUAUAGCUCAGUGGCAGAGCAGCGGUUUUGUAAACCGUGUACGGGGGUUCGAUUCCCUCUACUGGCU